UACGUAGGGUGCAAGCGUUGUCCGGAAUUAUUGGGCGUAAGGAGCUCGUAGGCGGUCUGUUGCGUCGGCUGUGAAAACCCGAGGCUCAACCUCGGGCCUGCAGCCGAUACGGGCAGACUAGAGUUCGGCAGGGGAGACUGGAAUUCCUGGUGUAGCGGUGAAAUGCGCAGAUAUCAGGAGGAACACCGGUGGCGAAGGCGGGUCUCUGGGCCGAUACUGACGCUGAGGAGCGAAAGCGUGGGGAGCGAACAGG
rnacentral:rRNA from 1 species